rnacentral:rRNA from 1 species
UACGUAGGGGGCGAGCGUUGUCCGGAAUCAUUGGGCGUAAAGCGCGUGUAGGCGGCCCGGUAAGUCCGCUGUGAAAGUCCAGGGCUCAACCCUGGGAUGCCGGUGGAUACUGUCGGGCUCGAGUCCGGAAGAGGCGAGUGGAAUUCCUGGUGUAGCGGUGAAAUGCGCAGAUAUCAGGAAGAACACCCGUGGCGAAAGCGGCUCUCUGGGACGGUACUGACGCUGAGACGCGAAAGCGUGGGGAGCGAACAGG